rnacentral:rRNA from 1 species
GACGAACGCUGGCGGCGUGCUUAACACAUGCAAGUCGAACGAAGAGCGAUGGAAGCUUGCUUCUAUCAAUCUUAGUGGCGAACGGGUGAGUAACGCGUAAUCAACCUGCCCUUCAGAGGGGGACAACAGUUGGAAACGACUGCUAAUACCGCAUACGACCUAAUCUCGGCAUCGAGGAUAGAUGAAAGGUGGCCUCUACAUGUAAGCUAUCACUGAAGGAGGGGAUUGCGGCUGAUUAGCUAGUUGGAGGGGUAACGGCCCACCUAGGCGAUGAUCAGUAGCCGGUCUGAGAGGAUGGACGGCCACAUUGGGACUGAGACACGGCCCAGACUCCUACGGGAGGCAGCAGUGGGGAAUCUUGCGCAAUGGACGAGAGUCUGACGGAGCAACGCCGCGUGAGGAAGGACGGCCUUCGGGUUGUAAAGCUCUGUUAAUCGGGAGGAAAGGCCUUCUUGCGAAUAGUGAGAAGGAUUGACGGUACCGGAAUAGAAAGCCACGGCUAACUACGUG